UUGAGCUCGACAGAGACACGCUUGCAUACUCGGUUAGGUCGCUCCCAUGAGUGCCGCUUCGGAGUGAGGCUUUUUUUGUAUUGACAUCGCAGCAGUCCCGUUUGGGUAGUUUUCUUGGACCGGCCACCGUCGUGGGUGGUGUGCGGUGUAGUUUGGGCACAGGCUGGACUGGCCAGUUGGCGAUCCGUUGAGAUUGGGUCAGUGUGAUUGAUUUGUAGUUAGUGAUGCAUUUUUUAUGUCUAUAGAGAGCAUGAUUUGGAUAGUGGUAGUAUAGUGGCAUAUAGCUGUAGAGUUU
rnacentral:lncRNA from 1 species